CAAGUAUUACUUUAUGCCUUGUGCUCUGAAACCAGCAGAUGUAGAAAGAGAGGAGAGAGAUGGGUCAGUUAGUCCAGCUCCUUUAUUGAUAUGUUUUGAGUGUGGGUAUACUCCUGUUGGUGUAUUCUGUUGUCUAGUAGUGUAUCUUCUUGAUCAGAAGACAGACCGAGCAUUGGAAUGGAAGUUAACUGGCAAUGAUCAAUAUCGUAACAGGAUUACCUUUCAAGUUGGGCAAUACUAUGAUACUGUUACCUUAAUCAGUCGUGCUACUUACCUUGAAGUUUGGGUUCAGCAAAUGAAAGGCUCAGAGCUAUCAACAAGUGAUUUAUUAUCAUCAUUGCACAAAGGACUAGUCACAGUAACACAAUCACUCCAUUACACUUAUAAGUCAAAGCAUAUGUUUGGAAUAUCAUGUACAUGCACUGCAGUGCCUCAUCCUGCUGUGAUUGGCCUUAAUAAAAAAGCAACUAUGUGUUUGAAUGGCAGAAUAGUGGAGUUUAAUGAGAAGCAAUUAUACUGGUCCAGUAAGGUUGUUCAGCUGAAUAACGCAACACAAAAUGCAAGCAGUGAAAUACCAUCUCAAGCUGAAUCUCACAUUCCUAAAAGUUCUUUAUCCCAUGGCACAGCUCCAGUAGAUAUAGAAGUUUGUCCUAGAGACUUGUUUCUUCAUCACUCAGCUGAUAUUACCCAGUGCAUCUCAUUUGAUGUAACGGAUGACGAUACACAAUCUUCAAGCAAUACUAGUAAUGUAUUGGGACUUAAAAGACACAGUGAAGAUGAAGCCUCUGAAUCUGCUUUAACAAAUAUAAAACAAAGACUUUUGUCUGAUGAUGUUGAUGAUCCUCCCUCUCCUCUUAAUAAAGGAUAUGGUAAAAAAUCAACUGAAAAUAAACCACACAGAAUAAAAACUGGACAGCCCUCUGAUGAGCUUGGAAAAAGGAAACAAAAUGAAGAUCAUGAUGGUUCAUCAAGAAGUAAAAGGUUUAAAGUGUCUGGUAAUAAUGACACUACUGCAGAAACAACUAUUAAAUGGGAAAGCUCAUUGUCUCAUAAUGCAGAUCUCCUGUUGGAAAUAAAGCCUCAAAAGAGUGAUCUUCUCAGGCUAUUUCAAUCUUCUGAUGCUCAUUAUAUGAUUAUUGGGACUGCAUUAAAUGUUAAAGUGGAUGACCUAUUACCCAAUCCACAGUCAACUACUAGUAAUCUCAUUCAAGUAUUCCAGAGAUGGAUAGACUCCGAUGACGAUGUGACCUGGAGAAAUAUUCUGCAAGUUUGUGGAGAUUAUCCUGAUAAAUUUGGAAAAGCAAAAUCUGAUGUGCAACAAUUUCUUUCAUCAGAUAGAGCUCGUAUAAAAUAUCUUAAAUAAGCUUUUAUAAAAGACCCAGUACAAGGUUCAUACACUAUCAGUUAUGAUCCUCCUUCCUGUAGAGACUGAUCAACAAAUAAACCUGGUUCUAAGAAAUUAUGCAGUAAAAGAUAAUUUUUACAAAAGAUUUUUUAUCGUGCUUGAUCACUUAUUUCUUUACACACUAUCACUUAACAUUACACUUCUGUCACUUAACAUUUUUUGUUUAUAAAUCAUAAAACCAUACAAUUUUAACAUUAAAAAUAUUAACUAGAAAUUAUUACAAUCAUAAUUGUCAUUUCACAAAUCAUUUCUUCAAGGAGGAACAAUCUAAAACAAAAAGAAGAUAAAUACAUUAUGUCCUCUUGACCAUCUCACCCUCUCUCUCUCUUCUCA
rnacentral:misc_RNA from 1 species